rnacentral:rRNA from 1 species
AUUGAACGCUGGCGGCAGGCCUAACACAUGCAAGUCGAGCGGAUGAAGGGAGCUUGCUCCUGGAUUCAGCGGCGGACGGGUGAGUAAUGCCUAGGAAUCUGCCUGGUAGUGGGGGAUAACGUCCUGAAACGGGCGCUAAUACCGCAUACGUCCUGAGGGAGAAGGUGGGGGAUCUUCGGACCUCACGCUAUCAGAUGAGCCUAGGUCGGAUUAGCUAGUUGGUGGGUUAAAGGCCUACCAAGGCGACGAUCCGUAACUGGUCUGAGAGGAUGAUCAGUCACACUGGAACUGAGACACGGUCCAGACUCCUACGGGAGGCAGCAGUGGGGAAUAUUGGACAAUGGGCGAAAGCCUGAUCCAGCCAUGCCGCGUGUGUGAAGAAGGUCUUCGGAUUGUAAAGCACGUUAAGUUGGGAGGAAGGGCAGUAAGUUAAUACCUUGCUGUUUUGACGUUACCAACAGAAUAAGCACCGGCUAACUUCGUG